UACAGGGGGUGCAAACGUUGCUCGGAAUUAUUGGGCGUAAAGCGCGCGUAGGCGGCUACUUAUGUCGGAUGUGAAAGCCCCUGGCUCAACUGGGGAAGUGCACCCGAAACUGAGUGGCUUGAGUACGAAAGAGGGUCGCGGAAUUCCCGGUGUAGAGGUGAAAUUCGUAGAUAUCGGGAGGAACACCGGUGGCGAAGGCGGCGACCUGGGUCGAUACUGACGCUGAGGCGCGAAAGCGUGGGGAGCAAACGGG
rnacentral:rRNA from 1 species